UACAGUGGGACAAAAUGAAGCUUCUAACAGGACUGAGAGAAGAAAUCCUGGACAAAUUGAGAUAGGUAGACUACAGCCCAGCCCAGUAGGUAUAGUGUGGGCCAACAUUGCCUGCAACAAAGGCCUACACAAAUCAAACUCUGGCGGUGGAAGCCAUAUUUACGUCUGGCUUUCAUGUUGUGAUGCUAGCAAAGGCAGCAGCAAUUCUGCUUUACCUGUGAUCUGAAGCAUGGUGACAUUCCUAGCAACUGGCCGACAUAACCAGCAGUUUCUGUGAGUCACCCAGACAGAUAUGGGAAAAGUCCCAGGAAAUUCACCAGUCACAUUAAUUACGGAGUUAAGCCGCUGCUCGGAUUUCUCUAUCAGGAUCAGAGGAGCAUAAAUCCAGUUGAAGUGGUACAAGUUUGAUACAGUGCUGUUGUUCUUCAUCCUCAGAGUGGCGUGAACAGUAGCCUGAGCUCCUGUUGUGAUGGGACCAUUGUUGGUGAUUUCCAGACCAUACUCCUCUGUAGAUUUCAGAAGCAGGACAAAAAGAGAAAUCCUGAUUGCUAGUGAGGAGCAGAGUGAAGAAACCAAAGGUGAGGAUUCGGAACAAUCCUUUUCAGCUACAGAAAAUAGAAACUACCAGGCUGGCCUCAAUAAACCUCUCACUGGGCAAACCAUUGUCCUAAAAAAAUAUGAACUUCCACAGCCAGGUAAGAUUUCAUCCAAUUGCUUCCUUUGUCAGCUAUACUGAACAGCUCAACCUCCUCCUAACUGAGUGUAAAAUAUCAGUACGGUUGUUUCUUCUCUAUAAUCUAUAAGGAGGCUCCACAGCCUCUCUGGGCAGCCUGUUCCAGUGCUCUGUCAGGCUCAAAGCAAAGAAAUCUUUCCUCGUGUUUGUGUGAAACUUCCUAUGUCCCAGUCUGUGCCCAUUGCCCCUUGUUCUGCCAUUGGACGGAUUGAAAAGAGCCUGGAAAUGAAUGUAAAUAAAAUUUACUGAGCAGAUGGUGAGGCCGUGGCACAGGCUGCCCACCCUUGGAGGUGUCUGAGGCCAUGAAUGGGGCCCUGGGCAGCCUGAGCUGCUGGGGAGCAGCCAGCCCAUCGCCAGGGGUUGGGACUGGAUGGGCUAUAUGGUACCUUCCAACCUAAGCUAUUUUAUGAUGAAAUGAUCUGC
rnacentral:lncRNA from 1 species